GAUCUAAUUGUCUGCUGACCUGCGCCCGGCGGGCUGAGGCCCGCGUUGGGAGGGCUCUUUGUAAAAGUUAUAAUUGGGGGUCAGUGAUGCGUUCACAGGCCGGGCGCGCAAUCAGCGCGUCCUCGUCCGACCCGGAGACCCGCGCGGGCGCAGGCAGACGCGCGUUUAUCAAAAACAGACAGAGAAGUGACCGCCGGCCGCUCGCACCCCCACCGCUGCGCUUUAAUCGGUGGUGCAGGAAGGAAAGGAAGCUCUAAAGAACAAUAUAAUCUCAUUAGAUGAGCCAAGCGCCGCUAUUUAAAAGCAGUCAGUCACUGAUGCUCUUAGAUGAUCAGACACAUGGAGUUCUUUUUUUUUUUUUUUGUUGCAAUUUCAACUAACAGAUGUUUUUAGUUGUUGAGACACAAGGUCAAAGAACAGCAGGAUUACCUGCGCUGCCUUUGUCAUCAGGCUGGAGGACACUUACCGCCCGCCGCGUUGAGCUCUCAGACCGGCGCCGGUGCCAAGGUUGGAGACGGUUACGUCAGCGUGUACCGUUCGUACAGGAGUGAAAUAGAUGGCGUUUUGGACACCGAUGGAUGUAAACUGUCCAACGUGGUUCUGAGCUGGUAAGGAGAGCGUCCCCCUGCUCUGGUUUCAGCACCAUGGACAGAGCGCGAGGGCCCCGAGCUCACUGAGGUCACUGAGGUCACUGCCACUAAACGCCUCCGCGAGCCGACAAUCGACGCGACGCGUCCGCUCACCUUUGGAUUCAGAGUCUAACGGCGGCGUCCCGGUGUGGGGACAAGUACUCGGGUGGGAACGCCCAGCUUAACGCCGCUGCCUCGUGGGGGGGCGGGUGGAGCCUUUCCAGGCGGAAAUGCCUCUGACAUUUGAAAACAGCUUGAAAUAGUGUUGUGGUAUAAAUCACUAGAACAGCAGACCAACACAAAUCUCUCUUACGACAACAAUUUGAGCACGUGCACUUCUGUAGAUAUCGUUCCUCUUUGUUUAAACUGUCUUCUUGGUCUCUGUGUGAAGCACUAUCGGAGUGAAGUGCAUCUUAUCUCAUCAUCUCAAACUGAAGCGAAAGGUUACGCAGGAAUGAGCACUGGUAUUACGACGCCUUCAUGUUGACACUCCGGUACCCGCCUGUAGCGCUCGCGCUAAUCUUUGUCAGCUGGCGGGUCGAGCGCACUGGAUAAGUCACAUUAAGGCUACGAUGAAUCAAUAAAAAUCCAUUUGAAGAAGUUCCCUCUUUGUCGCUGAAGUUUUCCAGCUGCAGGCGUUCAGAGAGGCUUUGUUUUCUUCCCUCUCUGGAUUAACUCAAACAAUAAGAUUAUUUCCGCCCAAGGACGAAUGCGUGUGCACACAAAUGUUUGGGUAAGAGCGCGCUUUAAAUAGACAAACGGGAGAAGACAUUUACAGUUAAACCUUUUGCAUUUCAAACGCGUAAACACGGGCAGGUAGAAGCCCGCGGCGGCGUGCUGCGUUUCUCACAGCCACGGACUGAACCAACGGCCCCCUGGGGAGACGGAGGGAAACGGCUCCACCAUCUUGGUGUUGAUAUCCAUGCUUUGUGUGCCUGGUGAAUGUUAUUCUAUUUCUUGGAUUUGGGUUUCCUAAAAUGGCUUCUGAAGUGCUGUCCUCUGUGUAGCUAUUUUUGCAUUUGUAUUUAGACAGAUACAGAAAUAGACCCAAUGAGACCAACGGCGUCUCUUAGAAGGACAGUGACAAAAGAACAAAAAUAUCCCUGUGGCAAAACUGUAUGCUAGACAAAACAACAAAAAACAGUAGAAAAUGUACCAAACGUCAGCAGAACCUGCAGAGAGGGAAGCUGGAAACAGCCUACAGCACCUAUAUGUGUAAAACCAUAUAGGUUUAUGGUAUAAAACUGUACAUAUGGUAUAAAUAUAUAGAAUUCUUAACUGGAAAGACGGAUGUUUGGAUCGGUGGACACAUUUGUUCUUUCUUUUUGCAGCAUCUCUAACUGAAAGAAGCACGACGAUAACUUUCCGCUGAGCAUUAUUCACUCAAACAAGGAACCGCCGUCAGCUCCCUGUCAACUUCACUCCCAGUGUUGGUUCUUUAUCCGACCGCGGCGCUCUGGUUCUUUAUCCAGCCCUUUAUCCAGCCACGGCGCUCUGGUUCUUUAUCCAAACCGCGGCGCUCUGGUUCUUUAUCCAACCGCGGCGCUCUGGUUCUUUAUCCAACCGCGGCGCUCUGGUUCUUUAUCCAAACCGUGGCGCUCUGGUUCUUUAUCCAAACCGUGGCGCUCUGGUUCUUUAUCCAAACCGCGGCGCUCUGGUUCUUUAUCCAAACCGCGGCGCUCUGGUUCUUCAUCCAAACCGCCGCGCUCUGGUUCUUUAUCCAAACCGCGGCGCUCUGGUUCUUUAUCCAACCGCGGCGCUCUGGUUUUUUAUCCAACCGCGGCGCUCUGGUUUUUUAUCCAACCGCGGCGCUCUGGUUCUUUAUCCGACCGCGGCGCUCUGGUUCUUUAUCCAAACCGCGGCGCUCUGGUUCUUUAUCCGACCGCGGCGCUCUGGUUCUUCAUCCAAACCGCGGCGCUCUGGUUCUUUAUCCGACCGCGGCGCUCUGGUUCUUUAUCCAAACCGCGGCGCUCUGGUUCUUUAUCCGACCGCGGCGCUCUGGUUCUUUAUCCAAAACCGCGGCGCUCUGGUUCUUUAUCCAAACCGCGGCGCUCUGGUUCUUUAUCCAACCGCGGCGCUCUGGUUUUUUAUCCAAACCGCAGCGCUCUGGUUCUUUAUCCGACCGCGGCGCUCUGGUUCUUUAUCCGACCGCGGCGCUCUGGUUCUUUAUCCAAAACCGCGGCGCUCUGGUUCUUUAUCCAAACCGCGGCGCUCUGGUUCUUUAUCCGACCGCGGCGCUCUGGCAGAGGGAACACGGGUUACGUUCCAACGUCGGAGACAUCAUAAGCAAUCAGCGGUAAAGAUAUCAAGUGUCAAACCCACUGUGCUCUAACAAGAGCCAGUUUUUAAGGGGUCAGAGAGAUAAUAUCACACACGGCUCUUUAUAAAGUCUGUGGAUUUAGACGCGGAAUCAAAUCAAGUUAAGAGAAAUCGUCCUCUCGCCAGUGUCCCUCCUCCCUGCACAGCGUUGACUUUGUUUCUCCUUCAAGUCCCUCUCUGUCCCAGUCCCUCUCUGUCCCAGUCCUCUCUAGUCCUCUCUCUGUCCCAUCCUCUCUCUGUCCCAGUCCCUCUCUGUCCCAGUCCCUCGUGGGUGAUGGUUCAACGAGAGCUCUGGAGAACUGGAUGUCUUGUUGACGGCCGGUUGUUGGUCAGGAUCGGUGUCAUCCUGUAGGCCCCGCCUCCCCUCGCUUCCUGGCGUGGGCGGGGCUCAGCGGGCUGUCAGCCACGCCCUCUAGUGGGCUCACGCCUCAGGACCAGGAGGAUCUCACUUAUGUGCCUCUGGAUCUAAAAUCUACCCAGGAUUCUGAAUUAAUACCAAAUACCACGUGAUGCGAUGAGCUGUGCACUAAAUGCUGGACUUGGGGAUCGUUACACCUGCGUACCGACGGCUGGAUGAGCAUGCAGAUGUUUAACGACUGUGCCUCAAAGAGACGCGUUGGUCUAAUUUAGUUUGAGUCUAAUUAGUCCAUUUUCAUGGAAAUUCAUUUUGGGACCCCACCAGCAUCCGUCCUCAUAUCGAACAUUAUGUUCUGCACGGCUGAAGGAACACUGUAUCGUGCUUUGUGCUCACAUGCACAUUUGUGUCCUGGAUAUUUAAAACGCUUCUCUAAUCUGCCGGAGGAACCAGGAACCAGACGGCUGUGACAUUUCUCCUUUUACCCUUGAUGGGACUAAAGGUUCUUCUCCAGCGGCGCACCGACCCGAUGGAAGCGAACCUUCAGCAGCCCGAGGAACGCUUCGGGUUCCAUGUUUGAACUGUUUCUUAUUGCUCCAAUGAGGAAGUCUCACACACUCCUGUUCAUUAUUAUGUCUUCAUUGUCAUAAUAUCCAAUUUAGAAUGUUUUGUAAGUAAAAUAUAAGACUCUUCAGCCUUUUGUCUUAUAUUUCCUUUCAGAAACUAAUUUAGUAAUUUAACUGGAGUGUAAUCAUCUUUUUCCCAUCAUACCUUUCACCGCACUCAGGUGCUCAUUCUAAAAUCAAUGUAUUAUCAUACAGCCGUGCCUGCAAAAAGUCGUUGCCUCAAAAGGGUGAAAGGAUUUUCUCCUGCAGUCUUUGAAAUUAUGAAAAAAAUCAUCAAGCUUUGUGGAGAUAAACACGCCCCCUCACACACACACACACACACACACGCUGUCACUCUGGGACGAUAUCGACUUUGUUCGGGAUGAAUUGGUCGCCAAGGAAUCCAGGAAGUGAGUUAGUAUUCUGCGUCACGGCCCGAGUGCUCUCUGGUUCCUCCUCCAGAUUUCAUCAUGUUUCGCUCGAUCAACGAGGGAGACCAAAAGGACGCAACCGCAGCGCAUUCUGAGGACCAAUUAUUCUCUGCAGAUGUUUCGCCGCGAACCAAUUUGAUGGAAAAGCGUCGACGGUUCCCCGCUGCUCCGUGAGUGCGCGUACGAGUGUUUCUACACGAGCGUGUUUGUCCCUACCGGCGUUCAUUGGGAGAACAUCACUGCGGGGGGGGGGGGGGGGAGCUCAUUGUUAGAAGCUGUGAGAAUAAAGAGACAACAGAGAAGAGCCAGUGAGUCAUCUCGGUUGAGAAGUGAUGGAGGAGCACACUGGAGCACGAGCUCGGUCCCCCGGUACGAACCGCCGAGCCGUCAGCGAACAAUCCCAGAGCUCGUUGACUCUGAAAGGAUUCGCCGCUCGGCCGCUCGGUCCGAACGCGGAGAGAAAGAUGCUUUUCGUGCAUCGGUGUGCAACAACGUGCAUCGGCUGAAAGGAAGGAAACCGCUGCAUCACAGCGCGCGAGCGUGUGACUGAGAGGGCUCGACUGAAGAGCUUUUCUUUGCACUUCUCGGGAGGAUUCUCUUCAGAGAAGAAAUGCAUUUAGAGUUUAGAGUUUAUUUGUGUAAAUCGAUGAAACGCUGAACGUCUCAAUCGAGUUUACAGGCCGCAGCAAAUGACUUCUUUUGAUGUGUAUUGAUCUAUUUAUCAUUUUUUCACUUAAAGUAAUAAAAUGUUGAAGCUCUCUGCUGAACAUCGACUACAAAUCAACUCUGACAUCCCGUAACACUGACUAUGAUGGAUGUUUGUGUUGCAAAACAAGCUCUGCCUGCAGCAACUAAAGCUUGAUUAAUGUUAUUUAUGGUCAAUUUGAGGCAAAUCAAAGUACUUUGAUCGGUUUACUAAAGGGUUUGGUUAAGAUCAACUCAUUGGAGCAAACGUAGAGACUCGCAUCUGAAAUGAACCCACAGAAAAAUACAUCUCGGCACAAAGUGAUCAGAUUCCUUCCCAACAAAAGGAGAACAGAGCUGAAAGAAAAGUGGUUUCACAGCCACAGAAGUAACGUUAGAACCAAUCCUCCCUCUUCAGAAGAUGAGAGGAAUGUCAUAUUACGGUGUUCUGUCACCUCGCACAUGAAUGAACCCCAAUUUAGAGCUGCGGGAACGUUCGCCUCAUUUUUCUAAUAUUGAAUUGUUUAUUUAUCCAGUUAUCAUUUAGCUCCCCUGCUGUGGUGCAGCUCUUACAGUCUCUUAUAGCCUCGAUGAGGCUCCUCAUGCUCCUCAUGUUGCCUCCAGCCUUCACAUCUCAGUAUCUUCAUCUGGUUUCCCUUCAUUUCACUUCCCACAACUCAGCACCCUUCACUUGCUGCUGAUUUGGACGUCUUGUCGCGUUCGUCUCCGAUGCUUUUACCCUUUUGAAACCGCCAGGAUGAAAAUCAGAGGAUGUAAAAGGGAUUUCACAUUUUUGGAAAUCGGCCCUCUGAACCACGCCGGGUGAGAUGGGGGAGAUAGCGAAGGGAAGGGGGGUCGGGGGGGCAAAGGGGGAUGAGAAACCGAGAGAGAGCUCGGUGCACUGGUUUAUUUACCUCGGGGGACGAGCAGCGAGGCCUCUGGGAUGGAACCAACCGGAGCGACAUGCGACUGAUUUCCCCUAAUUGGUUUUGACUCGCUCUCCUUGCGCCGCCGCCGCCGCUCUGUUUCCGGGCCGACGGCCGUCUCUCGCCCAUCUGAGGUGCUCCUUC
ensembl:lncRNA